AUAAUACUCCCUCCGUCCAGAAAUACUUGUCAUCAAAAUGGAUAAAAGAGGAUGCAUCUAGACGUAUUUUAGUUCUAGAUACAUCUCUUUUUAUCCAUUUUGAUGACAAGUAUUUUCGAAUGGAGGGAGUAGCAU
rnacentral:pre_miRNA from 1 species